rnacentral:lncRNA from 1 species
UUUAUUGAAAUAAAAAUUAUAGUUAUCUUAUGCCAGCAUAGAUAUAGAAAUCAAAUUUUUAUUGGCUAUAGGUACAAAGUAACAGUCUUUCAAAAUUAAAUAAAUUUCUAAUGAUAGUCACAAAGCAUAGAUCCCGAUGGCCACAGUAGCAACUCUUGCUUCAUUGCCAACCCGGAGAGUGAUCUCGCCUUCUCUCAGCCCUCUAACUUCUUUCAGACCCUACAU